AUCUUGUGAUAGGGACACUUCCUCAGCAGCAACUUAAAUUGCUCUCAUGCCUCAUACAAUGUUUCACCCUCAAUCUGCUUGAAAUUUGCAAUAUCAUGUCUGAGCU
rnacentral:snoRNA from 1 species